UUUUCAUCAGACAAUCUGUGUGAGCACUGCAAAGUACGCUUCUUUAAGGUAAGGAGGUGAUCCAACCGCAGGUUCCCCUACGGUUACCUUGUUACGACUUCACCCCAGUCAUGAAUCACAAAGUGGUAAGCGCCCUCCCGAAGGUUAAGCUACCUACUUCUUUUGCAACCCACUCCCAUGGUGUGACGGGCGGUGUGUACAAGGCCCGGGAACGUAUUCACCGUGGCAUUCUGAUCCACGAUUACUAGCGAUUCCGACUUCAUGGAGUCGAGUUGCAGACUCCAAUCCGGACUACGACGCACUUUAUGAGGUCCGCUUGCUCUCGCGAGGUCGCUUCUCUUUGUAUGCGCCAUUGUAGCACGUGUGUAGCCCUGGUCGUAAGGGCCAUGAUGACUUGACGUCAUCCCCACCUUCCUCCAGUUUAUCACUGGCAGUCUCCUUUGAGUUCCCGGCCGGACCGCUGGCAACAAAGGAUAAGGGUUGCGCUCGUUGCGGGACUUAACCCAACAUUUCACAACACGAGCUGACGACAGCCAUGCAGCACCUGUCUCACGGUUCCCGAAGGCACAUUCUCAUCUCUGAAAACUUCCGUGGAUGUCAAGACCAGGUAAGGUUCUUCGCGUUGCAUCGAAUUAAACCACAUGCUCCACCGCUUGUGCGGGCCCCCGUCAAUUCAUUUGAGUUUUAACCUUGCGGCCGUACUCCCCAGGCGGUCUACUUAACGCGUUAGCUCCGGAAGCCACGCCUCAAGGGCACAACCUCCAAGUAGACAUCGUUUACGGCGUGGACUACCAGGGUAUCUAAUCCUGUUUGCUCCCCACGCUUUCGCACCUGAGCGUCAGUCUUUGUCCAGGGGGCCGCCUUCGCCACCGGUAUUCCUCCAGAUCUCUACGCAUUUCNNNNNNNNNNNNNNNNNNNNCCCCCCUCUACAAGACUCAAGCCUGCCAGUUUCGAAUGCAGUUCCCAGGUUGAGCCCGGGGAUUUCACAUCCGACUUGACAGACCGCCUGCGUGCGCUUUACGCCCAGUAAUUCCGAUUAACGCUUGCACCCUCCGUAUUACCGCGGCUGCUGGCACGGAGUUAGCCGGUGCUUCUUCUGCGGGUAACGUCAAUUGCUGCGGUUAUUAACCACAACACCUUCCUCCCCGCUGAAAGUACUUUACAACCCGAAGGCCUUCUUCAUACACGCGGCAUGGCUGCAUCAGGCUUGCGCCCAUUGUGCAAUAUUCCCCACUGCUGCCUCCCGUAGGAGUCUGGACCGUGUCUCAGUUCCAGUGUGGCUGGUCAUCCUCUCAGACCAGCUAGGGAUCGUCGCCUUGGUGAGCCGUUACCUCACCAACAAGCUAAUCCCAUCUGGGCACAUCUGAUGGCAAGAGGCCCGAAGGUCCCCCUCUUUGGUCUUGCGACGUUAUGCGGUAUUAGCCACCGUUUCCAGUAGUUAUCCCCCUCCAUCAGGCAGUUUCCCAGACAUUACUCACCCGUCCGCCACUCGUCAGCAAAGCAGCAAGCUGCUUCCUGUUACCGUUCGACUUGCAUGUGUUAGGCCUGCCGCCAGCGUUCAAUCUGAGCCAUGAUCAAACUCUUCAAUUUAAAAGUUUGAUGCUCAAUGAAUUAAACUUCGUAAUGAAUUACGUGUUCACUCUUGAGACUUGGUAUUCAUUUUUCGUC
rnacentral:rRNA from 1 species